ensembl:snoRNA SNORD33 Small nucleolar RNA Z195/SNORD33/SNORD32 family
CCGCGCCGUGAUGAGCCCGGUCUGGCUCUGGAGUUUAGCGACAAUGAGAGCCGCCUCCAUGCACUACCAGCUGAGCGCGG